rnacentral:rRNA from 1 species
UACGUAGGUGACUAGCGUUGUCCGGAUUUACUGGGCGUAAAGAGCGCGCAGGCGGUCGUUCAAGUCGCGUGUGAAAGCCCCCGGCUCAACUGGGGAGGGUCAUUCGAUACUGAUCGACUCGAAGGCAGGAGAGGGAAGCGGAAUUCCCGGUGUAGUGGUGAAAUGCGUAGAUAUCGGGAGGAACACCAGUGGCGAAGGCGGCUUCCUGGCCUGUUCUUGACGCUGAGGCGCGAAAGCUAGGGGAGCAAACGGG